ensembl:rRNA 5S_rRNA 5S ribosomal RNA
GCUUACGGCCAUACCACCCUGAGCACGCCUGAUCUCGGAAGCUAAGCAGGGUUGGGCUUGGUUAGUACUCGGAUGGAAGACUGCCUGGGAAUACCGGUGCUGUAAGCU